CGUGAGUGCCGCUUUGGGGACGGCGAUCGCUGCCCUUCUUUUCCCCUUUGAUCAGCAUCCACCCCCAGGACUUUCCCAGCGGCUCCUCGUGACCCCCGGGCUGCCUCCCGAAACGGAAAGGUUCCACAUUUGGACCCCAUCAGGCAGAAAACGUCAGGAUUUGGAAAUUCCGCUCUUGGAAGCCAAUCUGACACAUUCCACGAAUGCUUCAAUUUAUCCCUUUGUCGCAACGUUCAGUGAAGGGUUUGGGUCCGGCCGCCCUGUUUGGAUGGAGAACCCCGGUUCAGGUUUCUGCUGCGUGGAGGAGCAGUGCUGGAGUUGGCCAUAAACUGUGCUGCUGGAUGAUACGAGAGCACAUAACAAC
ensembl:lncRNA